rnacentral:rRNA from 1 species
GGGCACUGGAAGGUCCCUAAACCGAAAGGGGCUCUGCCCGCCCGAGGAUGGGCCGGCGGCCGAUUAGGUAGUUGGUGGGGUAACGGCCCACCAAGCCCAUAAUCGGUACGGGCAGUGAGAGCUGGAGCCCGGAGAUGGACACUGAGACACGGGUCCAGGCCCUACGGGGCGCAGCAGGCGCGAAACCUCCGCAAUGCUCGAAAGAGCGACGGGGGGACCCCAAGUGCCGUGGUACAACCACGGCUUUUCCGGAGUGUAAGAAGCUCCGGGAAUAAGGGCUGGGCAAGGCCGGUGGCAGCCGCCGCGGUAAUACCGGCGGCCCGAGUGGUGGCCACUAUUAUUGGGCCUAAAGCGUCCGUAGCCGGGCUUGUAAGUCCCUGGCGAAAUCCCACGGCUCAACCGUGGGGCUUGCUGGGGAUACUGCAAGCCUUGGGACCGGGAGAGGCCGGGGGUACUCCUGGGGUAGGGGUGAAAUCCUAUAAUCCCAGGAGGACCGCCAGUGGCGAAGGCGCCCGGCUGGAACGGGUCCGACGGUGAGGGACGAAGGCCAGGGGAGCAAACCGGAUUAGAUACCCGGGUAGUCCUGGCUGUAAAGGAUGCGGGCUAGGUGUUGCUUGGACCUCGAGUCCAAGCAGUGCCGCAGGGAAGCC